AUUAAUCCUCUUCAAAUCUUAUACUCUCCAGCUGGCAACUGGUAAUAAUGAACACUAGACAGCAGAAAUUCUACGAAAUUCCACGUUGAACCAAAGAAGACGAAGAGGAAAAAGAAGAAGAAGAAGAGCAAAGAAAACCGAAAGAAACAGAGAGGGAGGAAGAACGAGAUUAUUGCGGAACAGGUCUCGACGAGAGGAACGUGCCGAGAAGAAAAUAGCUCGGACCAACGGUGUGGCACGGAACGACGCGAAUCUUACGAGCUGGAAAGGCGACGGAAUGAAAGAUCCGAGAUUUAACGCGACGCUAUAUUCAUUCAACGUGUUCACCAGCGAGAUACAAAUAAGACUCGCGUAAUCACGAAAGGGUCUCGUCGAGGCGAAGUACCACACGUAUACAUAUGUAUAUGCAUACGUAUCACGCUUCAGCUUUUUUCAAUGCCCUUUUCCUUUCCCCUGUGCCUAAAAUCCCUGCAUAGCCUUCGAGAAUCGUCAUAGCGCUAUUGUUCCGGACUAUGGGGUCCUUCACUGGCGAGUGUAAUGCGAAAUCAUGGUCUUUUCGUCGAU
rnacentral:misc_RNA from 1 species